AACCCAUGCAUUGGACAUUUUUAUAGUAAUUCUUUAAAUCUUUUCCAAGCUUUAUAGUGUUUCAUCCUCUGAUUACUGAAAAGACGUGAUGUCAUUUCUAAGUUU
rfam:Gossypium arboreum cultivar AKA8401 contig_13947_1, whole genome shotgun sequence.